UACGUAGGGUGCAAGCGUUGUCCGGAAUUAUUGGGCGUAAAGAGCUCGUAGGCGGUUUGUCGCGUCUGCUGUGAAAACCCGGAGCUCAACUCCGGACCUGCAUCCGAAACUGCCCGACUAGAGGUAGGUAGGGGAGAUCGGAAUUCCUGGUGUAGCGGUGAAAUGCGCAGAUAUCAGGAGGAACACCGGUGGCGAAGGCGGAUCUCUGGGCCUUACCUGACGCUCAGGUGCGAAAGCGUGGGGAGCAAACAGG
rnacentral:rRNA from 1 species